rnacentral:rRNA from 1 species
GACGUAGGGCGCGAGCGUUGUCCGGAUUUAUUGGGCGUAAAGAGCUCGUAGGCGGUUUGUCGCGUCUGCUGUGAAAACUCGGGGCUUAACUCCGGGCCUGCAGUGGGUACGGGCAGACUAGAGUGCGGUAGGGGAGACUGGAAUUCCUGGUGUAGCGGUGAAAUGCGCAGAUAUCAGGAGGAACACCGGUGGCGAAGGCGGGUCUCUGGGCCGAUGACUGACGCUGAGGAGCGAAAGCGUGGGGAGCGAACAGG